CAGUAACGGCGAGUGAAGCGGCAACAGCUCAAAUUUGAAAUCUGGCUCCUUCGGGGUCCGAAUUGUAAUUUGUAGAGAGUGCUUCGGGCGAGACCUCGGUCUAAGUCCAUUGGAACAUGGUGUCAUAGAGGGUGAGAAUCCCGUAUGCGACCGUGGCUCGAGCCCAUGUGAAGCCUCUUCGACGAGUCGAGUUGUUUGGGAAUGCAGCUCAAAAUGGGUGGUAAAUUUCAUCUAAAGCUAAAUACUGGCUGGAGACCGAUAGCGCACAAGUAGAGUGAUCGAAAGAUGAAAAGCACUUUGGAAAGAGAGUUAAACAGUACGUGAAAUUGUUGAAAGGGAAGCGCUUGCAACCAGACCUGCCCGUAGGCGAUCAGCCGCUGUUCUCAGCGGUGUACUCGCUCUGCGAUCAGGCCAGCAUCGGUUUCGGCGGUCGGAUAAAGACCUUGGGAAUGUAGCUUCCCUUCGGGGAAGUCUUAUAGCCCUCGGUGCAAUGCGGCCAGCCGGGACCGAGGACCGCGCUUCGGCUAGGAUGCUGGCGUAAUGGUUGUAAGCGACCCGUCUUGAAACACGGACCAAGGAGUCUAACAUCUAUGCGAGUGUUUGGGUGUCAAACCCAUACGCGGAAUGAAAGUGAACGGAGGUGAGAACCCUCAAGGGCGCAUCAUCGACCGAUCCAGAUGUCUUCGGAUGGAUUUGAGUAUGAGCAUAGCUGUUGGGACCCGAAAGAUGGUGAACUAUGCCUGAUAGGGUGAAGCCAGAGGAAACUCUGGUGGAGGCUCGCAGCGGUUCUGACGUGCAAAUCGAUCGUCAAAUUUGGGUAUAGGGGCGAAAGACUAAUC
rnacentral:rRNA from 1 species